GGGCGCGUAGUUCAGCGGAAGAAUGCCUGAUUUGCAAUCAGGAGGCCUCGGGUUCAAAUCCCGACGCGUCCA
rnacentral:tRNA from 1 species